rnacentral:lncRNA from 1 species
AAGAGUUUCAAAAAUCCUUUUCUGACUGCUCUCAUUUGAUGCAAUGAUAAAUACAGAAUACAGAGCUGGAUAUUGCUAUUUCACUUUUAUUUCACAUGCAGCUUUAAGACGUAUGAGCAUCAGCACAGCAAAAUGGUUCCAGCCUACAGAAUGCAGUCUCCCAGGGCCCUGCCAAGAACAUAUCUGUAUGUCUGGCCCUACAAAUGACAAAUGGUAAUUCCCUUCUAUUUUAGCUCUUAAUUAGUUGCUUUCACUAUUUCCGAAUAUACCUGUGGCUAAGUUUUUAUUGAAACACUCAAAAAUACCACUUCUCAGUAUGAACACAAUUGCUAAGAGCCUAAUUUGGUUCUGGACUAUGGUCAACCUGUGUGCCUUGUUAGUUCUCUCCAGCAGCUGGUGAGUAAGGAAAUGACCCUUCAAUUUCCUCUUCUUUUUCCUCUGACCUCUGUGACUUAAUUUUUCUUAAUGUCUCCAAGUCAUCAAGGGCUUAAUAAUUUAUGAAUUUUACAAAAAGCAUUUAAGGAAUAAGAAAGAGGUUCUGUGAUUUUUCAGACUCUGAAAAUUCAUUUCGAUUCUACAUAUUCCAGAAAUAUACUGGGUUGGAUGCUAGAGUGAAGAAAGCCGUCCAGACAAUUCUCCCAGUCCAUUCAUUUCUUCAUUCAUUUGUUCAUUCAGUAGUUAUUGAGUGCUUAUUUCCUGGGUGCCUGGCUCUAGGCUAUGUCCUGAGACAUACAGUGGACAGGGUCUCUACCCUCCUCACAACACCCUCUUCACCCUCCACGCCACCCCCUACUACUCACUCUCACCCUAGCAAGGAGCUUAGUGCUAAUAAGAGAGAGUCUUACCUGAAUGGCAAUCGCCCAGAUUAACAGUGGAGACAGUAAUGCAAUGCAGGAAGUUAAGUUUUUAAAGGUGAUUCUGUGCAGUAAGGUAUAAAACAGAUAUAUAAUAAAUAGCCUAGCUUAGUCUAACAUCUCUUUAGAAUUACACAGCUAAAAAGGAAAAAAAAACACCAAAAUAAGAUAAAAUAAAACAAAUUUAAACACCAAAAUAAGAUAUAAUAAAACAUUUGUUUUUGCAAAAUAAGGCCCAAUGUUAUGGCCUAAUGAAAGCUAUAUACUUGUGCUAUCUAAAGCACUACUUUGUAAAGAUGACUACCCAAGAUUGUAAAUACAAAAUUUAAAAAGGUACUUAAAUUUUCUGGAAUAUCCAUGUUUCAGAGGUAAUAUUUACUUUCUAUUUCAGUGGCUUAAAUUAUAACGUUUUGGCUUAAGUGUCUUUUAUCAAUACAAUGAUAAGACACCUUAAUCCUGAGAGAGAAAAUUAAGUACUGUAUAUAGGUGUACUUUGCUUCUCACAAUGAUUGUGCAAAAAGUCACGUGUAAAUUGAACUUUUGUAAAUCAAAUUGUAUUUUAAAUGCAUUAGGGGAGCUGCCAUUUAGAGGAAACUUGUGAAUUCUUUCAUAAAGCAGAAAACCAUUUUAUAAUACAAAUAACCAUUCUCUGAUUUAUCUCUUUUGUAUGUUUGGAUUUUCAAUAUCGACUUUGCUUAAAACAGAGCCCACCUGCAUAGUAACUGUGUUUUGCCAAGGCUGCUUGUGCUACCAGUUUGUUGGUGGCUAACGGCUUGUGCUUGAAAGUCUUCUGAAGUCUGAUGUGAAUUGAGCUAUCAAGCAAUGCUAUCAUAGCACAGUAGCAGUCCUGAACAGUCUGAGCAGCCAACCCAUUUCAACAAAAUUGAACACGGGACUCUUCUGCUCAGCAGCUCUCUUUUCUCAGAUGUGGCCAUGUUACAGCAGAGGGUAUUCCAUAAGCACAUAUUCUGUAAAGUGCUCAGAGUCACAGGUUUUAUAAUAAAUUAUGUUAUUAUGUAAACAUAUUGAAU